rnacentral:rRNA from 1 species
UACGUAGGGCGCAAGCGUUGUCCGGAAUUAUUGGGCGUAAAGAGCUCGUAGGCGGUCUGUUACGUCCGCUGUGAAAACCCAGGGCUUAACCCCGAGCCUGCAGUGGAUACGGGCAGACUAGAGGUAGGUAGGGGAGAAUGGAAUUCCCGGUGUAGCGGUGAAAUGCGCAGAUAUCGGGAGGAACACCGGUGGCGAAGGCGGUUCUCUGGGCCUUACCUGACGCUGAGGAGCGAAAGCGUGGGGAGCGAACAGG